GAUUGGCUAUCAGUAACCCUAUAUUGACCAACGAAAUUCGGCUUGCUUCCUCUCUCUGCCAAAAGUUUGUCAAUUAAAACGUGGGUCCCAGGAACAAGAAUGAAUCUGAUUCCAAGGUGAUGAAGAAAAGCAAUAUCCUUUAGAAUAAGAUCUAAGUAAGAGCUAGAUACAAUUUCCCCAGAAAUCAUCACAACGAAAGUGCCUCCUCUAUGUGCCCAUAGGUAAGGCCAAGCCUCUCUAAACCACCGUACAAACUGCUUAUCCUCCACGGAAUUGUAAUCCUCUUCCUCUUCCUCCACAUCCCCAUUUCCGUAGUUCAAUAGAUUGAACCUUCUCGAGUUUUCCCCAACUUUCUUCAGUCCCUUGUCCCACAAGUCUACCUUAUUGAACUUAAACAUUGCCUUCCCAUUUCUGAAACUACGGCUAUGAGGGGCAUUUUUAGAAGGGAAUCCUCGGCGAGUCUGUAAAUAUAGCUGAGAGCUUGAAAGAGAGGCAGCCAUGGCAGAGGAAGC
rnacentral:misc_RNA from 1 species